AACCUUGUAGCGCAAUUGAUAGCGCGUUGGACAUCUAAUCCAAAGGUCGUGGGUUCGAAUCCCAUGUGGGAUG